rnacentral:rRNA from 1 species
AACGAACGCUGGCGGCAUGCCUAACACAUGCCAGUCGAACGAGACCUUCGGGUCUAGUGGCGCACGGGUGCGUAACGCGUGGGAACCUGCCCUUAGGUUCGGAAUAACUCCCCGAAAGGGGUGCUAAUACCGGAUAAUGUCUUCGGACCAAAGAUUUAUCGCCUUUGGAUGGGCCCGCGUUGGAUUAGCUAGUUGGUAGGGUAAAAGCCUACCAAGGCGACGAUCCAUAGCUGGUCUGAGAGGAUGAUCAGCCACACUGGGACUGAGACACGGCCCAGACUCCUACGGGAGGCAGCAGUGGGGAAUAUUGGACGAUGGGCGAAAGCCUGAUCCAGCAAUGCCGCGUGGGUGAUGAAGGCCUUAGGGUUGUAAAGCUCUUUUACCCGGGAUGAUAAUGACAGUACCGGGAGAAUAAGCGCCGGCUAACUCCGUG